GAUGAACGCUGGCGGCGUGCCUAAUACAUGCAAGUCGAGCGCACGGACGGGAGGCUUGCUCCUCUGAUGUUAGCGGCGGACGGGUGAGUCACGCAUGGAAAACCCACGUAAACGACUGGGAUCACUUCGGGAAACUGGCGCUAAUCGCGGAAAAUUAUUUGACCCGUAUGAUUCACAUAUAAGAGGCGAUUUUGCUACUACUAAUAGAUGGAUCGGUGUUGCAUUAGCUAGUUGGUAAGGUAACGGCUUACCAAGGCAACGAUGCAUAGCCGACCUGGGAGGGGGACCGCCCACACUGGAACUGGGACACGGUCCGGACUCCUACGGGAGCAGCCGUUAGGGAAUCUUCGGCAAUGGGCGAAGGCCUAACGGGCCAACGCGGCGUGAGUGAUGAGGUUCUUCGGAUCGUAAAACUCUGUGAUUAGGGAGGAACAUAUGUGGAAGUAACUGUUCACACCUUGACGGUACCUAAUCAGAAAGCCACGGCUAACUACGUG
rnacentral:rRNA from 1 species